ACUGCUCAGUAACACGUGGAUAACCUGCCCUUGGGACCGGCAUAACCCCGGGAAACUGGGGAUAAUUCCGGAUAACGCAUAUUUGCUGGAAUGCUUUAUGCGUCAAAAGGAUUCGUCUGCCCAAGGAUGGGUCUGCGGCCUAUCAGGUAGUAGUGGGUGUAAUGUACCUACUAGCCAGCGACGGGUACGGGUUGUGAGAGCAAGAGCCCGGAGAUGGAUUCUGAGACAUGAAUCCAGGCCCUACGGGGCGCAGCAGGCGCGAAAACUUUACAAUGCGGGAAACCGUGAUAAGGGGACACCGAGUGCCAGCAUCAUAUGCUGGCUGUCCGGAUGUGUAAAAUACAUCCGUUAGCAAGGGCCGGGCAAGACCGGUGCCAGCCGCCGCGGUAACACCGGCGGCCCGAGUGGUGAUCGUGAUUAUUGGGUCUAAAGGGUCCGUAGCCGGUUUGGUCAGUCCUCCGGGAAAUCUGAUAGCUCAACUAUUAGGCUUUCGGGGGAUACUGCCAGACUUGGAACCGGGAGAGGUAAGAGGUACUACAGGGGUAGGAGUGAAAUCUUGUAAUCCCUGUGGGACCACCUGUGGCGAAGGCGUCUUACCAGAACGGGUUCGACGGUGAGGGACGAAAGCUGGGGGCACGAACCGGAUUAGAUACCCGGGUAGUCCUAGCCGUAAACGAUACUCGCUAGGUGUCGGCCACGGUGCGACCGUUGUCGGUGCCGUAGGGAAGCCGUGAAGCGAGCCACCUGGGAAGUACGGCCGCAAGGCUGAAACUUAAAGGAAUUGGCGGGGGAGCAC
rnacentral:rRNA from 1 species